rnacentral:tRNA from 1 species
GCCGAUGUAGCUCAGUGGUAGAGCAUUUCCAUGGUAAGGAAAAGGUCGUGGGUCCAAUUCCCACCAUCGGCU